rnacentral:lncRNA from 1 species
GCAAUGAAUAUGGUGCAUACAGAUGGAGGGGUCAAUUCUUUUUAGAUCGGCAAUGGACCAGCCGAUAGCCUCUUUAUUUUCCUUCAAAACACCAACCAAUUGUGCUUCUUGAUCCGGGGUCAAGUCUGAUGCAAUGAUCAUCGGAAGGGUGUCAUUAGGUCCUAGGAAUGCAUACUUGUGUGGCCAAAAGUGGCUUUAAUUCUAGUGCAGGUG